UCCUCUUCGCCGCCUCGCGCCACUGAAGCAGCAGCAGCUGCCUCCGUCCGUCGAUGGCAGUAUAGCAGUAUUGUUUUCACUAGCGAUUUGUUGGUUGUUCGUGUCCUUUUCCCCCAGAUCUGCCUGCUACCGUCUAUUACUCGACUCGAUGAUGAUUGAUUAUCUCUCUCCCUCUAGUAGUAGAGAUUGUACCCGUUUGCCUGUACAUACUUCUCGCCAGUGCUAUUUAUCCACCGGUUCGAUCUGCUGAUAAGUAUGAUAGCUCCAUUUAUUCAGUCGUUGUUCGUGAAUUUUGAUGCUCGUGAGUCAGCGUGAUGGAUCUGUUUCUCUUUCUCGUUUCUCCAUUAUCUGGUGGCAGAAUUGCUUUAUGCAGCCAGCUUCAUAUGCAGAUAUGCUUGUUACUGAUCCUUCACGCUAUCAAUCACAGCAGGGAACACUCUUCGAAUGAAUAUCACGAACUUUGGAGAAUUUUUUUUUUGAGUAAAAACAGCCGCAGCGACUGCUGCACUACACGUGAGUGGUGGACUCGGAGUCAGAGACUCAGAGGUGGUGCUGGUCGUUUGGCCUGCCUCCCGUGAAUUGAUAGGUCAUUUUCUUGGUGCGAUGCUUGGUAAAAACUGCCUGUUUCUCUUAAACAAGUGGCAUGUUAUUACCAAGCUUUCCAUCAGCAGUCAGCACAAGGAAACAAAUAACAUCUUAGCGAUCUACAGUAGUAUUUGAUAGACUGUCCACAGACCUACAGAUGUAAAUCAGUUUCCUUUUUUUCACGACCAUAGGGGUAGUUGUUACUAGAAUUUGCCAUCUGGCCUAUGUUGUACUCCCUCCGUUCCUAAAUAUAAUUCUUUUUAGAGACUACAAAAUGGGCCCGUGCGUUGUCACAGAAGAAAAAAAAACAUAAUCUUCAAUGAUGGUGACCACAUUAUGUUCACAUAUCAUCGCUUAAUUUAGAAAUUUUGUAACAAAAUCAAGAAAAUGUUUUUUCUUUUAAAUUUAUUCAAAAAUUAAAGCAAUCUUUACAUUUUCAAAAAAUAUAUAUCAUGGUUGUCAAAAAUCUUGGUAACUCAAAAAUUUAUUCUGAAUUUCAAGAAUUUUUUUAAAAAACAUACAAUAAUAAUUCGAUACAUCAAAUAGUUAAUUCUUCAAAAUUCACACAGGCAUAUUAUUACAAAGACUUGUAAGCAUUAAUGUUUAACUACAUACAUUAGAUCUUUCGUGAAUAAUUUUAUAAAUAUGGGAAUAAUUUUAAAAUUGAGAACAUUUUUUACAAUUCAAAUUUUUUUAUUAAAAAUCAUGAAUAUUUUUUAUAUUUCGAACGGGUUUAAAUAUUUUCUUUUGAAUUGGCGACCAAUUCAAGAAAAGACGAAUAAUUUUUUAUCUUGGAGGAUUUUAUUUUAAAUUUACAAACAUUUUUUGAAAUGCAUGUAGCUUUUCUGAAUAAAAAAACAUUUUUAUAAAUCAGUCAUAUAUUUAUUAAAUUCAUGGACAUUGUUUUGGAAUUUGCAAAAAAAAUAAAUCCGGCGCUUUUUUUUAAUCCUAUAUUUAAUUCAAAAUAAAAAUUCGUCAGCAUUUUAAUUCAAAAUUCCUAUUUUUUAAUAUGCAAAAAGUUUUUGUAAUUCUAAAUUAUUUAACUUAUAAAUAAACAAAAAUGGAACGGAAAAUUUUUAAUAAAAAAGAAACUAUCAAAACAGGCAUUAGCUAUUUUUAAAAUUUUAGGACAUUUUUAAAUGCAUUAACAUAUUUUGAAUUAGAAAGCAUUUUGUUAAAUGCAUUUAAUAAUUUUUAAUACAUGGAAUUGUAUUUGAGAUCAUGGACUUUACUUAUUGUACAAAUAUAUUUUUUCUAAAAUUGCAAACAUUUUAUUGUAUAUGCGAGUAUUUUUUACAAAACUCCGAGCAGUUUUUGAAGUCACAAACAUUUUAAUUUUUUAAAUAUGUUGAUUUAUAUUUUUCAGUUUAUUAAAAUUAUAAAGAUUAUUUGAAGUUCUAAUUUAUUUAAAAUAAAAAAUAAAACGGAACUGAAAAUAAAUAAAUAAACGGAACUAAAAGUAGGCGCGUGUGCAUGGGCCGGGCCAUACGGUGUGCUGGAUAUUCUCCCAGCGUGCAGAGCGUAAUAUAGGAGGUUUUUAUAUGGACCGGCCCAAUCUAAGAUUUUUCGCUUUGUGAAACGUUUUCUAUUACUUACCGGUGGCAUGGUGGGUAAUUUAUACAAAAUUUAAGGGUAAUUCUAAGACGGACGACCAGAAACCGAAUUUGCUUUAUUAUUACUAGCACAAAUGUCCGUGCGUUGCAACGAUGGAAAGAGAAAAAAAAUAUCAUGUCAAUGACCUACUCCAGUAAUCGUGAAAAAACAGAAGAUGACAUUUUUUAGGGAAGGCCUAUAUGGCCUGGUUUAUUGAUAACUAACAGUGAUUACAUCUUCCACAAGAUAAGCAGUUAGGGCGGUCAUCGUCACAAGUACAACAAACAUUAUUAAGAUAAUUAUACUUACAGCUAGUUCAUGAGCCACAACAUUGGCCUCACGUAGACAAUGCAUGAAUUUGACCUUCCCUUUUAAAGACACACAAUCCAUGAUUUCUAUGUAUAUUGCGGCAGCUGGAAACACCGUUUGUCUCGCCCGAGCACAAAUUAACAACGUCGAGGCAAUCAGAUUCCGCCAUCACAUUAUGAAUACCCCGAGAAAAAAAUAAGCGAUAGUAUUUGUUGCAUCGGUAGCAUGUGAAGUUUGUCUAUGAAGAUACUGUAAAUACCAAGCGUCGACAGAGAUGACCAUUUGUAUGGUAAGUGACGGUAUACACUGGCUCUCAAGGGAUACAAAUAAAGUGCUCCAAAAUUGCAGAUCCUGAGCGAUUCAAGGCAGUUGCGUCCGAAAUCACAUGAGCUAGUCCGAGCGCAUUCCAAAGGGCAGUGGCUCGGCUGCAGGUAAACAAGAGAUACUUGACAUCUUCGACACCCUGAUUGCAUAUAGGACAAUGACCCAUUCUACCUACUUGGAAGUUAGUAAGAAUUGAUUUCUCCAGCACAAGAUCUGAACUUUGAGAGGUAUGGAUAGUUUCCAAAGACAAUGCCAAACUGGGAUAGUAGCUGAUGGACCUGAAGAUGAAACAUUGGAAUUCCGCCUAUAUCGACGAGUCAAUUCAACAUAGUAAGCAGUGCGAACCAAGAAAAUACCAGUCCUUCUAUGCAACAAUAACAUAAGCAAGGAGGAAGGUAGCUAAGUUUAUCAUGACACUCAACAAUAUUUCUUAACUGAAGACGAGCAAAUGCAUCAGGAAAGAGCAGUUACCACUGUGAUCUCUUCUGAAGGUUCAUCCUCAUCAACAAAAUCUGAAUUAUGCGCUUUCCCAUUUGCAAAGGCCAGAUCAUCAGAUGAAGCUGAGUCUACUGGUAUUCCCGGGUUCUGUGAACCUUUAUUGCCGUAUUCAAGUGGGGCGGCAUCAUGUUCAUUCUUGGAGCACUUAUCCUCUAGAACUGAUGGGCUGGCAACAUAGGACGUGUUAAUGCGGGACAAAAUUUUAUUCAUAAGAAUUGGCAUAAAGAUAAAUAGUUGCGAAGAAUAAAGCAUACCGGUUGUUCAAAGUAAUUUCCCCUCCAAUUACUGUCUGAAUAGUGUUCCUUUGGUACUUCCGUCUUGGCUCUACAAAAACUUCACUUGGAUCAUAUGAGAACGAAUAAUUCCUUUCUUUACUAACUUUUGCACCACCAACUUGAGGUAUUUCUCCAGCUUGGUCACCUAGCUCAUCAGCAAGUGAUCCAUUGAUGUCAGCAGUUUUCCGAAGGUUUUUUGGUACACAGUUCUGAAGAAGUUUACCAUUAUCAUGACAAGAACUCUUCUCAGGAGAGCGUUUGAAUAUCACCUGAGCGCAUUUUCGAACCCAAGAUACUGGUGUAGAGACUGAAGGCCAUCAGACUCUCACAUACUUCUAUGCAAUGUUGCUCCUCCUCUCAUGGCUGGUGGGGAGGGGAAGAAGACGGAGAGACUGAAAUCAGUGGGCUCGAGAAAACACAUACAUGUAAUUUGUCCAACAAAUUGACUGAAACAUGCAGCAAAAUACACCGUCAAUGGUUUUUUCCUUGCUUCACCUUAACCAACACGCAACACAAUACAUCGUCAUUGAAAUGAGAUUUCAACAAAGGAAGAACCCUACUUAGUAAGUUUAAGGGGUUUCAGCCCAACAUUGACUAAAACUAUUUUCGAGAAACUGGACAGUUGGACCUACACCGAGAUAGAACAAUAUACAAAGUAUUCCCUAGAGUAAACAUUGGCUCUAAAAUUGUCCAAAUGAAGCCGACAUGUCAAAGCCCUGAGAUAAACAUAUCCAAUAAAAAACUCCAUGCAUGAACAACUCUAUGAUCUAGCUGGGUGCGCAAAUAGGUGUUAAAAAAACUCACAGGAAUAAUCUUGGAGAGCAUAAGUACAUAUUUAGUCAAAUUAAAAGGCAAAGUCAGAGCAGGGAAUAGUUGAUCCGAAAGACCUGCCAUAUGAAUGCACAAACAUUCAUAUGAGUGUUCAGGAAGAAGAAGAAAAGCACAAAGAUGCCAUCUCCUAUAGCUAGCUAAUGUACCAUGAUAAACAUUAUACAUACUUUGGGGGAGAGAGUGGUGCCUCCGAUGACGAGGAAAGCAGCAGGGCAAGACCAACUGUCCCGGCAAGUCGAGUCAGGCAAACCGUCAAACGGCUGGGAGGUGGUCCUGACGGUCGUGGACUCGGAUGGGGGCAGCUGAAACCAGAAGCACACAUCCGGCCACCGCAGGGGGGAUGGGGAUUGGGCAGGUGGCGACCUGAUCGUGCAUGGAGUAGCGAACACCGCACUCGGUCCUCCCGCAGUCCCCGUCGACAGCCGUGUCGACGCACGUGCAGCCGCAGCCGCAGUGGUACUGAGGCUUGCCAAUGUUGCGGUUGAUGAGGCGCUGCAUCACCACCACCGACACAUAAAGGAGAGUAGGGCAUGGCCGGCACGGCCUCCUUGCGUCGCUCCUCGCUGCCCGCCCGACCCUGGGGUUCCACGAUGGUGGCGGCGCAGGAGAGACGGGCGGGGGCGACAGAUCUAAGAUAUGGCCGGAGUGGCACAACUUGGUGACGGGAGGGGCGCAGUCCACCGCUGCGCACUCAGCGAGGAUGGGCCGACCAACUGCCACGCGGGCUGAAAAGACCUCGAUGAUGCCUAGAGGGGGGGGUGAAUAGGCUAUUUAAAAACGUCUUCAGAUUUGGCUUGAACCUAAUGCGGAAAUAAACUAAGAGGGUACUUGUCAAGCACAAAUCCUAAAUGCACUAGGCACUGCAACGUGUAUCAACAACACGAUCUCCCAAGAUGGACACAAUACAGUUACUAACAAGCACAAGUAAGUUACACAAACUUACUUGAGCUAUAUCACACGACAAGUAGGUGAACAACAUAAGAUACUAAAUCACACUAUAUCAACACGAUAUAUCAAGGGUUGCAAGUAUGAACGUGUGGAUAUAGAGGGUAUGCUUGAAUGAUUAAUCUUGUACAAGAAAUAGCCAACACAAUAUAAUGAGCACAACCAAUAUGCAAUGUAUGUAUGCUCAAAUAACACAAGUAAACCACAAGUAAGGAGUUAGGGUUAAGGAUAACCAAGGUCACUGAGACGAAGAUGUAUCCCGAUGUUCACUUCUGUGACAUCCUCGACUUUUGCAACAGUAAUUAUUGUAAUUAAGCUACAGUGAUCAACCGCUAAUGAUGCCACGUCAUCGAAUUUCCAUCUCAGACCCGCGUUGAUUCAAGCCUAUCCGGAUUCAAAAUUUGAAAAACAAACAAAGAAAAGUACUUUAUAAGUUCAUUAUAAAUAUUAAAAGGAUAUGUAUAUGAAAGAGAGAAUUAAAAGUAUGUAUAAUAAAUUGUAAAAGAAAGUAUAAUAAAAGAAAGUAUUUAAAAAGAAAAAUCAGUUAGUAAAAUAAAUAGGAAAGAAAGAAAAAGAAACAAAGCAACAAAAUAAAAUUAAAAAAGGGACAACCCCCACCCCCUGGCCGAGCUGGACCAAAAGGCCCAACUGGCCAGCCCACUCCAAACCCUAGCGCCUCCCCCCCUGGCGAGGGACCCCUCUCGCUCCCUCCCCCCUGGGCGCCGCCAGCCUCCCCCUCGUGGGGGGCCCCACCCACCCAUGCUCUCUCUCUCCUGUAACCCUCCCCCACGAGAGCCCCCUCUCUCGGUCCUCUCCCCCACCCCACCGACACAUCUCUCCCUCCCACGACGCCAGAUCCCCCUCCUCUCCCACGUCGCCUCGCCCUCCUCUCCCGUAACUCCCGUCGCCCCCAGAUCCCUCCUCCCGGCCGGCGAGCCCCCACGGCCUCCUCCUCCCGCCGGCGCGCCCCCCUCACGGCCUCCUCCUCCCGCCGGCGGCCACCCCCUCACGGCCUCCUCCUCCCGCCGGCGGCCCCCCCUCACGGCCUCCUCCUCCCGCCGGCGGCCCCCCCCUCACGGGCCUCCUCCUCCCCCGGCGGCCCCUCCCCUCUCCCGGCCGGCGAGCCCCCCCUCCACCGCGCCGGCCAGCAGCACCACCCUCGGCCUCCACCCCGCCGGCCGAGGCCCCUUGUUCUCCCACCACGGCACCCCCCUGGAGACCGACCCCGGGAGCCCCGCCGGCCGAGCCCCUCCCCGUCGGCGGCUCCAUCCCGGGGGCCCUCCUCACCGGGGCCCCUCUCGGCGAACCUCCGGCCGGCUCCUCCUCGCCGGCACGCCCGUCUUCACCGGAACCGCGUCACCGUCGUCACCUUCACCUUCGUGCAAACUCCGGCUUCACCGGGCCGUCACGUCACCGUCGGUGAGCCCCUCCUCGGGCUCCUCCCACCUUGUCGUUCUCCUCGACGUCCCGGUUCCGUUCCGGCAAACGGGGCCUCGCUCCGUCGACGGUGGACUCCGGUAGGAGGAUUUGAGUGUUUGGUUCCUCUAGGUUGUGUUAGCAGAGAGAGUUCUCUGUCUCUUAACAGAGAGAGAGAUGAGUGUUGAGAGCUUUUGAGAGAAAAGAAAUAAAAUCAAAUGUUGUAUUCCGUAUGUAUGUAUGUAUGUAUUCGAUACCCGUAUUAUGUAUGUGUUUGCGUAUAUAGGCAUGUGGAGAGAUACGACAUUUGUAUGGUUAUUUAUUUGUGAUUAAAAUGUGUAAAUGGCCUAGGGUCACUUACCGGUGGGGCCAAUGCACCCGCUGUCUAUGACAGGGAGGCCCCACGCGAGAGUUAAUAUAAAUUAUAAAAAUAAUGUUUUUCUUAAAUAAAUAAAUAAAUAGAUAUAAUAAUUAAUUAAUGAGUUAAUGAAUUAGUUAAAUAAAUAUAUAAGUUAAUCUGUUAAUUAGAAUAAUUAAUUAACAUAAUUAGAGAAUGACACGCGGGUCCCUCACUAAAUUAAUCUGAUAAAUCAAUAUUUAAUCGAUAUUAAAACUUGUGCCUAUGACGUUCGGGACCCGCUGGUCAGUUGACCGGUCAAAUGUUGAUGUCAGCAUGACAUCGCGAUGAUGUCAUAAUAGGAUUUUAUUAAAUCUUUUAAAUCUGUUUUUAAUUCCUAAAUAAUUAAUAAAACUUUGAAAAUUAAUAUAAAAUAAUCCGUAAGUCAGAUCAAAAUAUUUUCAAUAUGAAAGUUGAUCAGCAAAGCGAGACGAACCCGGAUGCACGGUGUGUUCAUCUGUCACGCGUCCCUAGCAUAGCAAACAUGAAACUUUUCCAUCGUUUCCAGUAUAACCGGUAGUAGCCCGAGACCCGGAAAAUAUCAUCAGAUAUUCUUCCGACCCGUCUAUGACGGAUGUUGCUGCGUUAGCUCAUGUCUAGCCUGCAUCUUUUCAUGUCAUGCUUUGUGUUGCAUCGGUGCUAUUAUUUAUUGUUUCUUCCCCCUCUUCUUACCGGUAGACCCCGAGACUGACGCUGCUGCCGGGUACAUCUACGACCCUACCGAUCAGUUCUUUGCCGCAGAGCAGCAAGGCAAGCAAACUCCCCUUGAUCAUUCCUAUAUCGCCUAUGUCUUUCUUCCUACUGCUUGCAUUAGUAUUUUGCUACUGUUGUAGUUAGCUCCUAUAUCUGAUGCAUAGCCUGUUUUUGAUGAACUGCUACUUUCAGUCCUGUACCUUUAAUAUGCUUAGUAUAGGUGGAGCAGUCAUCCCCUCUGACCCCGUAGCUCAGUUGCCCCGCUUGUUGUCAAAUCUCGAUCUCUGAUCGACGAGCCAGACCCGACACAGCACAUCCACCCCCCUUCGUUGUACGACGCUAUAGGGAUACUAUCGGGUACCGAGGGUGACACCUCGCUAAGUACUCCUGAUGAUAUCUCUGUAGUAUAGCUAGUCGGUCAUGGUUAUCGAGGGUGAUUCCUCUUUCACCAUUCCCGAUGAUGCCUCUGUCGUACAACCCCUCAAGUGUGGGACCCCCGAGGGUGAUUCCUCUAAGUCCACCUUGACGGGUACAUCGUUCGGAAUCCAAUGAGGGUGAUACCUCGGAUUACCCCCGAUGUUACAACCACACAGUUACUCGACCAUGUUACUGGGAUCAUUGGUGAUUAGUUGUAAGACGGGUGGAUUCCCGCGAGACUGUGUUGCUGGCCUAAUUAAAAUGCUAAUGGAUUUGGGUAUUUGAUCUGGGUUGGUCGGAGACCUUUUCGCACUAACCGGCUACGCGGGAAGAAUUAUGGGUACUCGGCGUUGCGGUAUCAGCCGAAGCUUUUCAGAUGCCAGCAAUGUAGCGGCGCACGCCCGAGUGGUCCCGAGAUGCAUCGCGCUUGUGAUUAAGGGAUUCUAGGACUGACGUCGGCCGCCCACGCCACGUGCAGGAGCGUGAAGGGGAACUGGGCCCACGAACCCUUUGUGCUUAGGAUUUAGACCGGCGGGCUGGCCUCUCUGAUUAGUCUUAGGUGGGGCUGCGACGUGUCGAUAUUCCGAGGCCGGGCAGGACCCAGAAAAGUAUGUCCGGCCAGAGUGUUAUCGAGCGUGACGGGACAUGUGGUGCACCCCUGCAGGGAUGAAAAUUAACUAUUCGGAUAGCCGUGUCCACGGUUACAGGACGACUUGGAGUCGUGCCCCGAUCUUCUACAACUACAAUUGUUACUUAACUGGAAUUAGUUUGCCUCGGGAUUGCUUCCUCGCAGGGAGUCGAGGGAGGAUCUUUAGGCGUGACCUCACUUUAAUAUUGCUGCAACAAUAUGACUAUUAUGUGUUACCCCCUGUUCUACUCUCGUCUAUUGCUGCAAGACCCUGAAGAUGCUAGUCUUCGAUAGGACUAGGCCUUCUCUCUCUAUUCUCGCAUUGCUGCAGUCAGUCCACAUAUAACCCCCCCUUCUUUGAUACUGGUGCAUAAUUAGAAUAGUUCUGAUGUAAGACUUGCGAGUACUUUGGAUGAGUACUCACCGCUGCUUUGCUCCCCCUUGUUCCCUUGAUCCGUUUGCUGCGACCAGAUGAUGAAGCCCAGGAGAUGGAGGUCCCCGCCACCGACGACUGCUACCCCGACGGUGCCUACUACUACGUGGAGGCCGCUGAUGAUCAGGAGUAGUUAGGAGGUUCCCAGGCAGGAGGCCUCGCCUCGUUCGAUCGUUGUAUCUUUUGUGCUAGCCUUCUCUAAGGCACCCCAUGUUUUAUGUCUGUACUCAGAUAUUUGUUGCUUCCGCUGACUCGUGUGUUUAUCGAGCUUCCGUAUUCUAGCCCUCGAGGCCCCUGGCUUGUAAUAUGAAGCUGAUGUUAUUUUAUUUGUGUCGAGAGUUGUGUUGUGAUAUCUCCUCGUGAGUCCUUGGGUUUGAUCGUACGCAUUUGCGUGUAUGAUUAGCGUACGAUUAUGCCGAGGGCGUCACAACUUCCUUGGAGGGAAGCUAGUCACCGUUAGAGAGGUGGAUGUUACCAUGAAGGCACACCAACGCCACGAAGGCUCACCCUAUUCUCCCUUUGAGAUAACACCACGAAGGCGUUUCUCAACCACUAGUGGUAAGCCUUUGAGGUGGCUUCCAAACCCUCACAAACUUUUUCCGGGGGAAAUCACACGGAUUGAUUCCUCUCCGAAGAACUCCUACCGCCUAGGAGUCUCCAACCUCCAAGAGUAACAAGAUCACGGGGAAUGCUCAAAACUUGCUCAAAUCACAAAUAGCUUGGGUUGAGAGAAGGAGAGGGAGAAGAUCUAUCUUUUGAUUGGAACAACUCUCAAAGGGGCUCACAAAUGCUGUUGGGAUCUAAGAUUUGGAGUGAGCAAAUGUGUGUGAGGUGGAAAUGUGUUCUUAUGAGGAUAAGGCUGUGUUGGGCAACCCUCUCACGAAGUGGGAGGGGGUAUUUAUAGUGGGGAGAGAAAAAGAGCCGUUGGGGACACUUUAAGUCACACAGGGUCUGGACGUUCGACAGUAGUCGGAAGUCCGGGCGUCCGCGAGGGGUUGGACGUCCGACAGGGGUCGGUCGUCCGAGGCCAGUAGAUACGACUGAAACUAUUUUGAAUUAAACAACGACCGGACGUCCGACAGGGGUCGGUCGUACGAGGCUUGUAGAUACGGCUGAACAUAUUUGAAUUCAUCAGCAUACGGACGUCCGGAGUGGCCUGGAAGUCCGUGUUAUACAUCACAAGUUCUACUGGUGGUGGCUUCCGGAUUUCCGAUGGGUGUCGGACAUCCGGCGCUCGGACAUAUGGAGGGAGCCGGAUUUCCGAGAUAUAGUGCACACAUUCUACUAGUGUUGACCUCCGGAUUUCCGGAUCUUGGCCGGACGUCCGGAGGGAGCCGGAUUUCCGAGAUAUAGAACUCAACCUCUACUGGGGCAGACUUCCGGAUUUCCGGGUCUUGGCCGAACAUCCGGGCCUCGAACGUCCGGGGGGAGCCGGAAGUCCGAGUUAUAUGGCUCUGAUUUCUCUGGUAUAGGAUUCCGGAUUUCCGAACUAGUCGGUCCUCCGGUCCUCGGACGUCCGGAGAAAGCCGGAUGUCCGAGGCACUGGUUCUGUUUUCAUAAAACAACAAAACAGUGGAGAUGUGGUCUGAGCAGAAAGUGAUGAUGUAGUUUGAGCAAGUUCAUCGCAAAACCUAUGAUCCCCUCUUAAUAGUGCGGGAUCCGUAAGGACUCAAGAAUCAUAAAAGAGUACUGAGGAUCCAUACUUGAGUGUAUACUUUUAUUCACUGAUCAUCACUCCGCACAACUAACGUCAAAGGAACUGAUACCUUUGAGUUAGCCCCUUUCACCUGAGCUUGAUGUUGUUGUUCCUUCUUGGCUCAAGUUGAAAGCAAGACAUGAUGAAGUCUUCAAGUAGCUUUCCCAUACACAAUGCGGAAAGCCUAGCUUAUGUAUACAUCUUCAUUUGUCCACCAUGUGAACAUCCACAAGAAUCAAGCAUGUAGUGCUUAGGAAUGCUUAUCUUGAUCUUGUCCUUGUUAGCACAUGAGAUUGUCCUUAUCAGCACAUGAUCAUUGACAAUAGUUUCAAUGAUAUAUUCGUGAUGAUCCACUUGAACUUGCACACCACAAUCUUGAUGACGAUCACCACUUGACGUCAUCUUUCAUGGGUUGUAUGAGAUCUUCCUUUUGACGCAAGCCCAAUGAAAGCACACCUAAUCCCCACACAGGAGUCUCACAAAGACCAUGGGUUAGUACACAAACACGUAAUGGACAAUGCUUACCAUACCAUGGGAUCACUUCAUCCCUCUCGGUACAUCUUAUACGCUUUGUGUGUUGAUCAUCUUGAUUUACUCUUUGUCUGAGAUCUUGAUCAACCUAGUGUUCUAUGACCAUUCUUUGGAUAAUACCUUGAAUAAUAUCUUGGUCAUCGUAUAAACUCCUUGAACCCGACACAUGGACUUCAAGAAGUGCCUAUGGACAAAUCCUAUAAAUAUAACUUAAGGCAACCAUUAGUCCAUAGGAAUUGUCAUCAAUUACCAAAACCACAUAUGGAGAUAUAUGCUCUAACACGGGCCGCACGCGACAACGAGGGAAGGAGGAGAGGGGGGGGAGGUCGUUGCGCACGCGAGAUGCGCCGUCGCCCGAGUCUCCCUGGGGAGACGACCUGGGGGCAUGUGGUUUCGACUCCCGCUGGUUCAAUAUUAAAAAGUGCAGGGUCCUUUUUGUAAGAACGAAACAUUUUCUCAGUUCAGCCACUUAAAUUAGGACUGCGGGUUAAAUACCCAAAACAACAGGGAUUUUUUUGUAAAAAUGCCACGACGGACGACCAGAAACCCUAUUUGCUUUAUUAUUAGGAAGACUAGCAAAAUGGCCCGUGCGUUGCCACGGAAGAAAAAAAACA
rnacentral:lncRNA from 1 species